UUCACCAUUUGCUCAAACAGCUGUUGUUCCUCGUCAAUAUUAACAUUAGGUGGUUUAUAACAUAUACCAACCAAUAGUUGAUUUUCAUUCUUUUCCCCCAAGCAGAUAUUUACCCAUAAAGCUUCCACAUUUUCCUCAUCACAUUCCACUUGCUUAAGAUUUGGCUGUAACUUGUGGUUGACAUACAAACAUACCCCACCACCCUUCUUGUUUUUCCUAUCCUUCCUAAAUAACAUGUACCCAUUUAAGUUAACUGCCCACUCAUGUGUCUCAUCCCACCAUGUUUCAGUUAUGCCUAUUAUGUCAUAUUGUUUAGUGUAUGCUAUUGCAUAUCUAGUUCCCCCAUUUUGUUAUUAGGGAUCCUUGCAUUAGUAAGCAUACAUUUCAUAUCAUGGGUCACUUUUACUUUUUGUGAAUUAUCAACAUUACAUACCUUCUCUGUUCUGAGCUUGCCCCUCCCCCGUCUUCACCCCCCUUAAACUGAGCUGAAGCCCAUCUCCUUUCUAAUACUAGUUUAAAAUCUCCUCCAACCUUCUAGCCACCCUAUCCCCCAGCACUGCAGACCCUCUCCCAUUUAGGUGCAAUCCAUCACUACUAUACAGGUUGUACCCAAGCGCAAAGUAGGCCCAAUGCUCUAAAACCCCCCAAAAACUUCAGCCACACAUUUACCUCUUUAAUCUCCCGCUGCCUUGCUCUGAUCACUUGAAGCUCA